rnacentral:lncRNA from 1 species
UCAGGUCUAUGCUAUAUAGUUCAUACAAGCAGCAGUAAUAGUGGAUGCAAGUGCAUGCCUAAGUGUCAGACCCUUCUAAACUUAAAUCUAAACUUAAAUCGUAAAAUAUUGGGAUGCGAACAAAAGUUGGCUAUGGGUAUGGGUACAAGGACACCUCCUAAACAAUUAUUUGUAUUGUAUAUUAAUGAUACCCUCAGGUAACAUGUUAUACAUUAUUCAGAAAUGUAAGAAUGUUGCUUAGGGGUAGGGUACAAGGACACCUCCUAAACAAUUAUUUGUAUUGUAUAUUAAUGAUACCCUCAGGUAACAUGUUAUACAUUAUUCAGAAAUGUAAGAAUGUUGCUUAUGGGUAUGGGUACAAGGACACCUCCUAAACAAUUAUUUGUAUUGUAUAUUAAUGAUACCCUCAGGUAAACUGUUAUAUCUUAUCAGAAAUGUACUUGAUAUCUAAUGGGAUUGAGUGAAAAUAUGAAAUUUAUAUCUUCCAUCCAUAAAAGGCAAGAAUGUUGCUUUUCU